rnacentral:lncRNA from 1 species
GCUUCUUUUUAUGUCCUGUGUUGGUUGUUGUGGCGGUCAGUGAAAGGUUUUUUAUUAUUUUGUAUUAUUUUGUAGCUGGGCAUUCAGAGCUCAGCAUCACAAAGACAAAUGUGGAGUGACAAUGUGAAUUACAGACCAGAGACAUCUUCAUCAGCACCGUGUGUGCGCGCGUGUACCCGUCCCUGCAGCAGUAUAAUACAAUGAGCCAGAUUUGCCAUCCUAUCAAAGAUCUCAUCCAAAAAACAAUUAUUUCCUGUCACGGCCGUUCUCCCGCUCUGGCGCCUGAGGGUGCCAGACUGCCUUCAUUACGCACACCUGUCACCAUCGUUACACGCACCUGCACUUCAUCACCCGUCACCGUCACGUGCAGCAGCGCAUCAUUGGACUCACCUGGACUCCUUUAAUUUGUUAACUGCCCCACCUAUAUCUGUUUGUUGCUUUGGUUAGAUCCCUGUGUCAGCAUUGUUGUCAUUGUUUAUUCCUGUCCAGACGCUGUCCCGUUCCAUGUCCGAGGUUAAUUAAAUGUUCACUCCCUG